CAGCAGCCGCGGGAAUACGAAGGGGGCUAGCGUUGUUCGGAUUUACUGGGCGUAAAGCGCACGUAGGCGGACGCUUAAGUCAGGGGUGAAAUCCCGAGGCUCAACCUCGGAACUGCCUUUGAUACUGGGUGUCUUGAGUCCGGAAGAGGUGAGUGGAACUGCGAGUGUAGAGGUGAAAUUCGUAGAUAUUCGCAAGAACACCAGUGGCGAAGGCGGCUCACUGGUCCGGAACUGACGCUGAGGUGCGAAAGCGUGGGGAGCAAACAGGAUUAGAUACCCCCGUAGUCCCUGUCUCUUAUAC
rnacentral:rRNA from 1 species